rnacentral:rRNA from 1 species
UGGGGAAUUUUGGACAAUGGGCGAAAGCCUGAUCCAGCAAUGCCGCGUGUGUGAAGAAGGCCUUCGGGUUGUAAAGCACUUUUGUCCGGAAAGAAAUCCUUGGCUCUAAUACAGUCGGGGGAUGACGGUACCGGAAGAAUAAGCACCGGCUAACUACGUGCCAGCAGCCGCGGUAAUACGUAGGGUGCAAGCGUUAAUCGGAAUUACUGGGCGUAAAGCGUGCGCAGGCGGUUUGCUAAGACCGAUGUGAAAUCCCCGGGCUCAACCUGGGAACUGCAUUGGUGACUGGCAGGCUAGAGUAUGGCAGAGGGGGGUAGAAUUCCACGUGUAGCAGUGAAAUGCGUAGAGAUGUGGAGGAAUACCGAUGGCGAAGGCAGCCCCCUGGGCCAAAUACUGACGCUCAUGCACGAAAGCGUGGAGAGCAAACAGGAUUAGAUACCCUGGUAGUCCACGCCCUAAACGAUGUCAACUAGUUGUUGGGGAUUCAUUUCCUUAGUAACGUAGCUAACGCGUGAAGUUGACCGCCUGGGGAGUACGGUCGCAAGAUUAAAACUUAAAUGAAUUGAC